AUGUUGUCCAUUGAACAUUGCUGGUGUCUCAGGUCAUUAGGGGGCUUACGAGCUGCUACCUCUGUUUCGGAUGUUGGGAUGGUUUCAUGCCCUUCUUUACAGUUGGCACGCGGAGCAGAAUGUUUGCCAUUAUCCCUUCAGAGCCUCAGUAUAGACAAUUGUGUGAUUGCAGCUGACUUCCUCUGUACUGACUGGCCACACAUGAAUAAUAUUCGUAUAACCAAUUGCAGAAGCACCACAUGCUUGUCUGUUGGUGGUCUCACCUCUGUUAAAACAUUCUCAUUGUAUCACUUGCCAGAUUUGUGUAUCCUCGAAGGAUUGUCUUCCCUGCAACUUCACCACGUACGUUUGGUUGAUGUUCCGAAACUCACUGCCGAGUGUAUCUCACAGUUUCGCGUCCAGGACAAACUCUGUGUUAGUAGUCCUGUGGUACUCAACGACAUGCUCUCGGCUGAAGGUUUUGCAGUCCCAACAUUUCUCGCUCUUGAAGGAUGCAACGAGUCAUUCAUUUCAUUUGAAAAAUCUGCAAAUGUCACAUCUGUCCAGAACCUGAGAUUUGAAGAUUGUCAAAUGAUGUCCCUGCCAACUAGUCUGACGUGCUUCUCCAAUCUGAAAAAUCUUGUCAUCUUUGGCUGCCCCAACAUAUCAUCUUUACCGGACCUGCCAUCCUCCCUCCAGCGCAUAUGCAUUUGGGGUGGUUGUGAGCUCUUGAAGGAGAGCUGCCGAGCACCUGAUGGAGAAAGUUGGCCAAAGAUCGCGCAUAUCCGCUGGAAGGAUUUAUAA
rnacentral:rRNA from 1 species